CGCGCAGGCGGUCCUUUAAGUCUGAUGUGAAAGCCCACGGCUCAACCGUGGAGGGUCAUUGGAAACUGGAGGACUUGAGUGCAGAAGAGGAAAGUGGAAUUCCAUGUGUAGCGGUGAAAUGCGUAGAGAUGUGGAGGAACACCAGUGGCGAAGGCGACUUUCUGGUCUGUAACUGACGCUGAGGCGCGAAAGCGUGGGAGCAAACA
rnacentral:rRNA from 1 species